rnacentral:rRNA from 1 species
UGGGGGAUAUUGCACAAUGGGGGAAACCCUGAUGCAGCGACGCCGCGUGUAGGAAGACGGUCCUCUGGAUUGUAAACUACUGUCUUCGGGGACGAUAAUGACGGUACCCGAAGAGGAAGCUCCGGCUAACUACGUGCCAGCAGCCGCGGUAAUACGUAGGGAGCGAGCGUUGUCCGGAAUUACUGGGCGUAAAGGGUGUGUAGGCGGUUUUGUAAGAUAGCGGUGAAAUGCCGGGGCUCAACCUCGGAAUAGCCGUUAUGACUAUGGGACUAGAAUUAUGGAGAGGAUAGUGGAAUACCCAGUGUAGAGGUGAAAUUCGUAGAUAUUGGGUAGAACACCAGUGGCGAAGGCGGCCUGCUGGGCUUUUACUGACGCUGAGGCUCGAAAGUGUGGGUAUCAAACA